rnacentral:rRNA from 1 species
GAUUAAGCCGUGCAUGUGUAAGUGUAAAUAUACUAGUUUGGAACUGCGAAUGGCUCAUUAUAUCAGUUAUAGUUUAUUUGGUGAAGUGUACUACUUGGAUAACCGUAGUAAUUCUAGGGCUAAUACAUGAGAAAGUCCUCUGGUGAGGUGUGUUUAUUAGAAUGAAAACCAUAUGCUUCGGCAUGAUAGUGAGUAAUAGUAACCUAUCGUAUCGCAUGCUUAAUGUAGCGAUGAGUCUUUCAAGUUUCUGCCCUAUCAGCUUUCGAUGGUAGUAUAUGGGCCUACCAUG